rnacentral:rRNA from 1 species
UACGGGGGGGGCAAGCGUUGUUCGGAAUUACUGGGCGUUAAGGGCUCGUAGGCGGCCAACUAAGUCGGACGUGAAAUCCCUCGGCUUAACCGGGGAACUGCGUCCGAUACUGGAUGGCUUGAGGUUGGGAGAGGGAUGCGGAAUUCCAGGUGUAGCGGUGAAAUGCGUAGAUAUCUGGAGGAACACCGGUGGCGAAGGCGGCAUCCUGGACCAAUUCUGACGCUGAGGAGCGAAAGCCAGGGGAGCAAACGGG